AGAGCGGACAGGGCGAUGGCGGGUUCGCCGGGUGUGAAGCUUCACAGCGGUCCGGUGACCAAGUCGAGGAUUUUUCUGGUGGUCUAGUCUCAGAGAUUACAUCUGUAGUCAGCACAAUGAUUCCCUUCCAAGCCCAGUGGUGCCCCGUUGCCUCCAGGUCCCAGACCUUUAUGUGGACAAGAAAAGCUUACAGAGGAAAUGGUAAUUCUCCACUUGCACCCUGAGGUGUCCAGUUGCAGCCCAUGGAGAUCCAAUUCAAUUAUGAAUCUCAGGAACACCACCUUCUGUCAGAUGGUGAGAACAAGACCAAGAUUGGAAAGCCAGCUUCAGAGGAGGGAAUUACAGCAAAAAUUGAACCAUUGACAGAAGAGUCUAGCAGUCUCAGAGAGAAUGUUCUCCAGGAUUCUGAAGGCAGAGAAUUCUGUGAAUUUGGGGAUAAAUUAAAUGAAAAAGAUCAGAACGUCUUUAAAAGGAGACCUCAUAACUGUGAUGAAUAUGGGCAAAGCUUUGUUUGGAAUACAGGCCUUUUUAGGCAUCGAAAAACCCACUGUGAGAAACCUUAUGAAUGUGAUAAGUGUGGAAAGGCCUUUAGUGUGAGCUCAGCCCUGGUUCUGCAUCAGAGAAUUCACACUGGGGAGAAACCUUAUUCCUGUAAUUGGUGUAUUAAAAGUUUCAGUCGGAGCUCAGACCUUAUUAAACACCAAAGAGUCCACACUGGUGAAAAACCUUAUAAAUGUGAUGAGUGUGGGAAAGCCUUCAGUCAGAGCUCAGAUCUUAUUAUACAUCAGAGAAUCCAUACAGGAGAAAAACCCUAUCAAUGCAGUCAUUGUAGUAAAAGUUUUAGCCAGCGCUCAGAUCUGGUUAAACAUCAGAGAAUCCAUACUGGAGAGAAGCCUUAUACUUGUAACCAGUGUAACAAACAUUUUAGUCAGAGUUCUGAUGUGAUAAAACAUCAAAGAAUCCACACUGGGGAGAAACCAUAUAAAUGUGAUGUGUGUGCGAAAGCCUUCAGUCAGAGCUCAGAUCUUAUUCUGCAUCAGAGAAUUCACAGUGGGGAGAAACCAUAUCCAUGUAAUCAGUGUAGCAAAAGUUUCAGUCAGAAUUCAGACCUUAUUAAACAUCGAAGGAUCCACACUGGAGAGAAACCCUAUAAAUGUAAUGAAUGUGGGAAAGCUUUUAAUCAGAGCUCAGUCCUUAUUUUACAUCAGAGGAUUCAUACUGGAGAGAAACCCUAUCCCUGUGAUCAAUGUAGCAAAACCUUCAGUAGGCUUUCAGAUCUUAUUAAUCAUCAACGAAUUCACACUGGAGAGAAGCCUUACCCAUGUAAUCAGUGCAAUAAAAUGUUUAGUCGAAGAUCAGAUCUUGUUAAACAUCACAGAAUUCAUACAGGUGAGAAACCCUAUGAAUGUGAUGAAUGUGGGAAAACCUUUAGUCAGAGCUCCAACCUUAUUCUUCAUCAGAGAAUCCACACUGGAGAGAAACCUUAUCCAUGUAGUGAUUGUACUAAAAGCUUUAGUCGCCGUUCAGAUCUUGUUAAGCAUCAAAGAAUACACACUGGAGAGAAACCAUAUGCAUGUAAUCAGUGUGAUAAAAGUUUUAGUCAAAGCUCAGACCUCACUAAACAUCAGAGAGUACACUCUGGUGAAAAGCCUUAUCAUUGCAAUAGUUGUGAGAAAGCCUUCAGUCAGAGUUCUGACCUUAUUCUUCAUCAGAGAAUUCACACUGGAGAAAAACCAUAUCUAUGCACACAGUGCAGCAAAAGUUUCAGUCAGAACUCAGACCUCAUUAAACACCAGAGAAUCCACACUGGGGAAAAACCAUAUAAAUGUAGUGAGUGCAGGAAGGCUUUCAGUCAGUGCUCAGCUCUUACCCUACACCAGAGAAUCCACACUGGGGAGAAACCAAAUCCAUGUGAUGAGUGUGGCAAAAGCUUUAGUCGGCAUUCUGAUCUCAUUAACCAUCAAAAAAUACACACUGGUGAAAAGCCGUAUAAGUGUGAUGCAUGUGGGAAAGCCUUUAGCACAUGCACAGAUCUUAUUGAACACCAGAAAAUCCAUGCUGGGGAGAAACCCUACCGUUGUGUUCAAUGCAGCAGAAGUUUUAGCCAACUCUCAGAACUUACUAUUCAUGAGGAAGUCCAUUGUGGAGAAGACAGUCAAAAUGUGAUGAAUGUGAGAAAACCUUUAGUGUAUACAUCAACUCUAUUCAGUACCAGAGACACUGUACCAGGAAAAAAUCUAAUGAAUGCUGUUGAUUAUUGAUGAGUAUGAAAAAGGUUUUAAUCAGUGUUCAACUCUUAUGCUACAUUUAAACCACACUGGAUCCGGAUACGUGUGGUGACUCACGCCUGUAAUCCCAACACUUUGGGAGGCAGAUGUGGAAGCAUCAUUUGAGCCCAGGAGUUUGAGGCUGCAGUGAGCUAUGAUUCCACCAUUGUGCUCCAGUCUGGGCAACAGAGCAAGACCCUGUCUAUUAAAAAAAAAAACAAAAAAACACCAGUACCACACGGGAGAAAACAUUAAUUCAGUUUUUGUAAUGAAAGGUUAACUCAGAGCUCAGACAUUACUAAAAUUAAGAAAAAUUCUCCAGCCUGGCCAACAUGGUGAAACCCUGUCUCUACCAAAAAAUAAAAAAUAAUUAGCUGGGCAUGGUGGCAGGCGCCUGUAGUCCCAGUUAUUCGGGAGGCUGAGGCAUGAGAAUCACUUGAACCUGGGAGUUGGGGGUUGCAGUGAGCCGAGAUCUGCCAUUGCAUUCCAGCCUGGGCAACAGAGUGAGACUCUGUCUCAAAAAAAAAAAAAAAGAAGAAAAACAAAAAUUCUGAGGAAGAGUCCUGUGAGUUGUGGGAAAACCUUCAAUGUGAAAAACAUUUUUACUGAAUGUCAGUAUACCACAAUAGAAACAAAUUUCUAUCUAUAAUAGCCAGAAUUUUCUGCUCUUAUGAUACUGAUGAUUCUCUAAGAUUGCACCAUCCACCCUGGAGGUUGCUGACUCCCACUUGAUUGCUGGCCUGCCACUCAUCCUGUGCUGUUUUCUUGGAGCCUGACCUCCUCAGUGAUUGCUGCUGGAGAGGCUGAAUGGUGCAACCUGGAAGUGCGGAGUAGCUGAUGCUCUGUGGUGGAAACCGACCAGAUGGAGAGAGGAGUCUGCAGAGAAGUCUUCUCUUUCUUCCUCACCCCAUAGUAAGGUAAGAUGCAGUACUUUAGUUCACAUGGCUUGUGUCUUGAAAAUGAUCAGUGAGACUAAGCAAACAGGUGUGCCUUUAGAAGCUACAGACAGCUCAGUAACACCUACUCAUAUUUGCUUUCUCUCCUCUGCUUCACUUCUCAUUUACCUUCAGUCAUGCUUUUCUUGAAUUGCAUCACCCUAAUAUUGUCUUAGUAAUAAGGUUUUGUCUUAGGCCCUAUUUUCUCAGGAAUCCAGACUAAGACAGGUUUCAUAGUGGAGAUGUUUAUUAGGCAAAGGGAUACAUGAGUCUGAAGUUCAGAGAAGAGGUCUCUGGGCUGGGGAUAUAGAUUUUGGAUUUGUAGAUAGUAUUUAACAAGAUAAGACCAUGAGAUCAACUAGGAAGUGGAUAUAGCUAGAAAAGAAAAGAGAGCUGAACACUGAGCCCUCAGGCACUCCAAUAUGUAGAAAGAAGUCCAGAGAGGUGAGGAAAUACCAGCAUUGAGACUGAGAAGAAACAGCUCAUAAGGUAGAGGGAAAUCAAGAGUGUUGUUCUGGAAGCCAAACUAAAAUAUGUCAAUUAUACAAAAUACUAUUCAUUGGUAAGCAAUGUAAGUCUGAGAAAUGAGAACUGGAAUCAUCAACACUGAGGUUAUCAAACUUGGCUAGAACUCUAUGUUGAGAAAAAUUGUAUAAUAUAUAGUAAUGUCACACCUCUCAUUCCUGAUAUAAUUUGUAUCUUCUUUUUCUCCUGAUCAGUUUGGCUAGAAGUUUAUCAAUUUUACUAUUAUUUUUACAAGAUACUUUUGGUUUAAAUUGAGUACAGAAAUUCAUUUUUUGCUCUUGUUUUUCUGUUUCCUAUUUUAUUGAUUUCAAAUCUAAUCUUUAUUUCUUUUCCUCUCUUUAUCUUGGGUUUACUUUAUUCUUAUUCUAUCUUAUUAAGUUGGAAGCUGAGGUAAUUGAGAACUUUUUUCUACUAUAAUUGCUUUAUUGCUAUGAAUUUCUCUCUAAGUAAUACUUUGGCUGUAUCUCAUAGAUGAUGAUGAAGUUAAUGAUGAUGAUAAUAAUUUUAAUAUAUAUUUUUUGAAGAACUGUUUUAGGUUCACAGCAAAAUGGAGCAGAAGGUACAGAGAUUUCCCAUAUAUGCCCUACCCCCACACAUGCAUAGCCUCAUCCAUUGUCAACAUCCCCCACCAGAGUGGUAUAUUUGUUACAACUGAUGAGCCUACGUUAACACUACAUUAUCACCCCAAAUCCAUAAUUUACAUUAGGGUUCACUUUUGGUGUUGUACACUACAAGGGUUUCGACAAAUUUAUGACAUAUAUCUACUAUUAUAAUAUAUACAGU
rnacentral:sRNA from 1 species